AACCCUAGUCAAUAGACCUACGGCGUAAAACGUGUUUAAGGAACAGCUCCAUAAAGUCAAACUUUAGCUAUGCUGUAAAAAGCCACAGCUACUGUAAGCCCUGACGCGAAAGUAACUUUAAAAUGCCUGAAUACACGACAGCUAAGACCCAAACUGGGAUUAGAUACCCCACUAUGCUUAGCCCUAAACCUAAAAAGCCACUCCAACAAGGCUCUUCGCCAGAGUACUACUAGCCAAAGCUUAAAACUCAAGGGACUUGGCGGUGCUUCACACCCCCCUAGAGGAGCCUGUUCUAUAAUCGAUAAACCCCGAUAAACCUCACCAACCCUUGCCAACU
rnacentral:rRNA from 1 species